rnacentral:rRNA from 1 species
CGUGCCCCGUAGCGGGGGAUAACCAGUCGAAAGACUGGCUAAUACCGCAUACGCUCUACGGAGGAAAGCAGGGGAUCGCAAGACCUUGCACUAUGGGAGCGGCCGAUGCCCGAUUAGCUAGUUGGUGAGGUAAAGGCUCACCAAGGCGACGAUCGGUAGCUGGUCUGAGAGGACGACCAGCCACACUGGGACUGAGACACGGCCCAGACUCCUACGGGAGGCAGCAGUGGG